rnacentral:rRNA from 1 species
AUUGAACGCUGGCGGAAUGCUUUACACAUGCAAGUCGAACGGCAGCACGGGGGCAACCCUGGUGGCGAGUGGCGAACGGGUGAGUAAUACAUCGGAACGUGCCCAGUCGUGGGGGAUAACGUAGCGAAAGCUACGCUAAUACCGCAUACGAACCGAGGUUGAAAGCGGGGGAUCGCAAGACCUCGCGCGAUGGGAGCGGCCGAUGGCAGAUUAGGUAGUUGGUGGGGUAAAGGCCUACCAAGCCGACGAUCUGUAGCUGGUCUGAGAGGACGACCAGCCACACUGGGACUGAGACACGGCCCAGACUCCUACGGGAGGCAGCAGUGGGGAAUUUUGGACAAUGGGCGCAAGCCUGAUCCAGCCAUUCCGCGUGCAGGAUGAAGGCCCUCGGGUUGUAAACUGCUUUUGUACGGAACGAAAAGGCUCUGGUUAAUACCCGGGGCUGAUGACGGUACCGUAAGAAUAAGCACCGGCUAACUACGUGCCAGCCGCCGCGGUAACAC